AUAUCAAUAAGCGGAGGAAAAGAAACCAACAGGGAUUGCCCUAGUAACGGCGAGUGAAGCGGCAACAGCUCAAAUUUGAAAUCUGGCCUUCUGGUCCGAGUUGUAAUUUGUAGAGGAUGAUUUUGGUUAGGUACCUUCCGAGUUCCUUGGAACAGGACGCCUUAGAGGGUGAGAGCCCCGUACGGUUGGAUGCCGAGCCUUUGUAAAUCUCCUUCGACGAGUCGAGUAGUUUGGGAAUGCUGCUCUAAAUGGGAGGUAAAUUUCUUCUAAAGCUAAAUACCGGCCAGAGACCGAUAGCGCACAAGUAGAGUGAUCGAAAGAUGAAAAGCACUUUGAAAAGAGGGUUAAAUAGUACGUGAAAUUGUUGAAAGGGAAGGAUUUAUGACCAGACCUUUGCCUUGCGGAUCAUCCGGUGUUCUCACCGGUGCACUUCGCUUGGUUGAGGCCAGCAUCAGUUUUGGCGGCGGGAUAAAGACUUCAGGAACGUGACUCCCCCGGGAGUGUUAUAGCCUGCUGUGUAAUACCGCCGCUGGGACUGAGGACCGCGCUUCGGCUAGGAUGCUGGCAUAAUGGUCAUCAAUCACCCGU
rnacentral:rRNA from 1 species